rnacentral:rRNA from 1 species
GACGAACGCUGGCGGCGUGCUUAACACAUGCAAGUCGAACGGAAAGGCCCCUUUGGGGGUCCUCGAGUGGCGAACGGGUGAGUAACACGUGAGUAACCUGCCCUUGACUUCGGGAUAACUUCAGGAAACUGGGGCUAAUACCGGAUAGGAAUCCUUGCUGCAUGGUGGGGGUUGGAAAGCUUCGGCGGUUUUGGAUGGACUCGCGGCUUAUCAGCUUGUUGGUGGGGUAGUGGCUUACCAAGGCUUUGACGGGUAGCCGGCCUGAGAGGGCGACCGGCCACAUUGGGACUGAGAUACGGCCCAGACUCCUACGGGAGGCAGCAGUGGGGAAUAUUGCACAAUGGGCGGAAGCCUGAUGCAGCAACUCCGCGUGCGGGAUAACGGCCUUCGGGUUGUAAACCGCUUUCAGCAGGGGCGAAGCUUUUGUGACGGUACCUGCAGAAGAAGCACCGGCUAACUACGUG